GAUGAACGCUAGCGGCAGGCUUAACACAUGCAAGUCGAGGGGUAUAUGCUUUCGGGCAUAGAGACCGGCGCACGGGUGCGUAACGCGUAUGCAAUCUGCCUUUCACAGAGGGAUAGCCCAGAGAAAUUUGGAUUAAUACCUCAUAGCAUAGCACAAUCGCAUGAUUGAGCUAUUAAAGUCACAACGGUGAAAGAUGAGCAUGCGUCCCAUUAGCUAGUUGGUAAGGUAACGGCUUACCAAGGCUACGAUGGGUAGGGGUCCUGAGAGGGAGAUCCCCCACACUGGUACUGAGACACGGACCAGACUCCUACGGGAGGCAGCAGUGAGGAAUAUUGGUCAGUGGGCGCAAGCCUGAACCAGCCAUGCCGCGUGCAGGAUGACGGUCCUAUGGAUUGUAAACUGCUUUUGUACGGGAAGAAACACUCCUACGUGUAGGAGCUUGACGGUACCGUAAGAAUGAGGAUCGGCUAACUCCGUGCCAGCAGCCGCCGUAAGAC
rnacentral:rRNA from 1 species